UACGUAGGGUGCGAGCGUUAAUCGGAAUUACUGGGCGUAAAGCGUGCGCAGGCGGUUUUGUAAGACAGAUGUGAAACCCCCAGGCUCAACCUGGGGACGCCACCCGAUACUGCUGUGACUAGAGUCCAGUAGGGGAGUGUGGAAUUCCCGGUGUAGCGGUGAAAUGCGCAGAUAUCAGGAGGAACACCAACAGCGAAGGCAGCACUCUGGGCCGGUACUGACGCUGAGGAGCGAAAGCCAUGGGGAGCGAACAGG
rnacentral:rRNA from 1 species